UAUGUAAUGUGACCUGUUUUUUUUUUUUUAUUUGUAUGCAUGUAAACAGUGAUGGAUGAUACAUAAAAAUUUGUUUCUUUUGGCAGGGGGGUAAGAGCUAAUUUUCCUUAUAUAUUUUUAGAUUAUUUAAUUUGUGAUAAUGUUUUGAGUGCUUACAAGGAUUGGACACCUUCCUAAAUUUUUACUAGUUUUCACUAAUUUAAAUCUCACAUUAGGUAUGGAAGACAGGUUCUAUUACUUGCCUAUUUUAUAAACAGGGAAAUUUAAGCUAAAAAAAUUAAGGAUUUUCCCCAAGUUACACAAGACUUGGAAGACUGGGGUUCUAAGUAUCUUGUUGUGUUUGAUCUUUGUUCUGGUUAUUUAAAAAAGAGGCAUUGAAUAAACAUUAUUGUGGUAGAAUCAACUUGCUUAAUUUAGUCACUUGAAAUAAUACAUCUGUACGGAAUGCCUUAGUCCCAUUAUAAAAUGAAGUGAAUUUUCCUCCUAGCUAACAUUAAAGGCCAGUGAGAAUAACCCAAACCAAAAAUUUCAGUGAAACUUCUCUUUGACAAUAGGUAAGAGGCCAAGGGAAAUCAGUGGAUUAAUUCUUUGUGAUUUGAGAAUACUUUCCAGUGUAUUCUCUAAUAUCUAAUCUCAUGCAUAGUUAAUGUGACUCUUUACUUACUCUGUGGAAUUGAAAGACACUAAGGAGGAAUAAAUUCCCUUCACCUGUUUUUCCUGACACAUCCUUUAGGGUCCUUGAAUAAAAGAUAAUCUGCAAAUGCUGAAGGCUUUUGUGUAAGAAUUGAUUAUACUCUGGAGGUAAAGUUCUACGGUGAGUUUUACCAUCUGGUACACAUGUUUAAAGCAUGAAAGUACCUUAUAUACAACAAUUUUGACAGAUACUCAGUCUUUAAUGGGCAAGCCAGGUUAUUCUCAAAGGUACUUAGUAGGGAAAACAGUCAUGUAUACAAUGGCUUGCAUUUUCCUUCUUUUAAUUUCCCAUUUCCCCAUAACUGCUUGUAAUUUGCAUUCAUCUCUUUGCUAAUUGCUUCAUUAAUGCUUUGGAAAUUAGGAUGUUUGUUAUCCUCUGCAGUUGUUGGGUUGCCUAAGGCAGAGUAAAUGCUAACUUUAAAUAUUCUCAAUAAAAUUAUCACCAAAAUGCUACUAUUGGUAGUUCUUUGUGCAUUUAUACCUUGUAGACUCUAUUGUUGAAGGAAAAUGAUACACUUAAUAUAUUAUGGAAAUUGUCAUCUCGGUUUAGCUUUUAAAUAUAUUCAUUUCUAUAAUUUUUUAAUGUGUGCUAUAUGUUAGAUCUUUUAGAAUCAGUAUGCAUUGCAGGUUAAAUGAUUGCUUAUGGAAUUUUUCAGUAUUAGCAUAUCUAAGAAAAAUACAAGGAACAAAUAUUUAAGAGAAAUUAGGAGACAGGAAGAUCUUUCAAUUUGUAUUCAAACUUAAUCCCACAAAAUGUGAUUUGAUGCUGAGUUUGUGAGAUGCUACUGAUUUUGGAGAGACAGCAGUGGAUGAUGGCUUGAAGCGAGAUAUUAAUUCUCUGCUCAGGAAUUGAACCUAGAUAGCCUGGAUGAAAACCAAGAAUUCUACCCACUAGACUAGCUAGAGGCUAAAAGCAAAACUGCCCUAAUUCUUGCUCCCUGUUAAAAACAAUGUUUCAAAAUGGUAAAAACUGUAAAAAUAGGUAGAAAGUAUAAAGUUUAUUGUUAGAAACACAGUACAACAUGUGGGAGAGCACAGAAAUAUAGAGACUUAGUCUAUUUAUCAAAUAAGAGGCAGAAGCAGACAGUAAUAGCCAAAGGAGCGAGGGUGUGGGUGUCCCCUUAAAUGAGGAGCACACCAUGGAGGUGAUUUAAAUGACUUAGAACAGUUCUUCCGGGUCUUUGUCUUCCUUUGGUCAUUAUCUCCUUUUAUUUUUCACACCUAACCAGAACCCCCCCCCCCAACUCGAUAUGCAUCUGCAAUUUUUGGUCAAGAUGAUUCCAAAGCAAGGCAUGCAGGAAGGUUGUCUAGACUUAUUAUGGCCUGAUACCCUUCCUGCCUCAAGAAGUGUAAAUAAGAGGCUAGUUGCAUAUGUCUAUCCUGGAGCCCACCUGCCUCCUACCUCAUUAUUACCAUUGUUAUAUAAAUAUGCUUUAGGUACAAUACAGUUUGAUUAAAGCCUUCUUCUCAAAUAUUUGCCGCAGGGCUCUGGUUAGUAUUUAAAAACAUGAAAAUCUUCAUGUGGCGGUAUCAGAAUUGGUCAUAAAUAUUCUAAUGAAAAUAUAACCUCACUUCUGGACAACAACGGACAAACUGAAAGGUUUUAAAAAAUAUUGUGACCUAAUUGAUUGAUUUAGACUAUGUGUUUAAACAUUAAUUGCCUUACUCACCUGGCAGAUUUGUACUCAGAAAUUCAAAUGACGUUAGAAAUAGGAUUUUAAAGAUGGAUUCUCUCACUUUGAUUUUAUGCAAGCACAGUAUCAUAUUUUUGCUUCAUAAAUAUUCCAAUAUGGUAAAGAAAAAAUUUUGUCUUAAGUAUUUUUUUAAAGUAUUAGAAAUACUUAGUCAUUUUUAACUAAACAAAUAGAAUAAAAUCCUGAAAUACAUUAGGGUGAAUUCCAAUUUAAUCAGUGUAUUUAGCUUUUUAUUAAAAAAUAACUGGGUCUUCAGAACAACCCUCUGAACCACAGAAAAUAAAUAUAUGGUUAUAGACAUGUAGAUGAAGAGAUUUAGGCACAGAGGAUUAACUGAAUUUGUUAAGAUCUUGAGUGUGUACUCAACUCUUGUGAAUACUAGCCCUUAUUAUAUCUGUUAUAAAGGAUUGGUCAAGAAAAGUGUUACAAAAUUAUAGAAUGAGAAAUCCUAUACUGAGAAUAAAGCAUGAGAUCAGAGUUUUCCUAGCCUUUAAAAUUUUUUGAAGAUGAAUAGGAUGAAAGACACACAAUCUAAGGGAGAUAAGUACACAUUUGAAUAAAUGUAACAAAAUAUCAUUAAAGUGGCAACGAAAACCUUCUAGAACAAAGGCAAUGUUCUAACUAACAUGUAGUAACAUAAAAUUGUACCUAGCUGAUUGGUUUGUUCAUUCUUUUAUGCCACAUGACUUACUGAGUGCCUACUGUUUGUCAAGAACUUGAAACACUAGAGUGCAUGUCUUUUAGGAAGUUAUCUUUCAACUUGUAUCGUUUCACAGAUACUACAUAAUGAUGAUAAUGAUGAGUACCGACCAUUUAAAUUCCAUAAACUUCUUUUAUAUUGUGACUUUUUCAGCAUAAUAUAAAUGUAUAUUAUGAAUAGUAGUGUGGUAAUGAUUAGAGCUGCUAUACUUUAAAGUAAGUUGAGUGAUGUUGAGUAAAAUGAAAGCAAAAACCCUGUCACAACAGCAGCAAAACAAAACCAAAACUGGCAAAUAAUCCAAGGGCUGAUGAGAAAGAGAAGUUGGAAUGAAGAUACUUUGUCAGUUCUAAUUAUCCUAAUUUGAGAAACCAAAGAGGCCCACCAGAUGUUACUACAUGAGUUAAUUCUGUCUUCAGCAUUAAAAGUAAUUAACUUACAUGCUAACACUUGUACAAUUUCUUAGACUGGAAUUAAAUUCACAUGUUACCGCUUUCUGUCAGGCUGUCUUGAAACAAAAGCCCUUAUUAGAAUGAUGUAAAUUCCUCGUAAAUGAGAAGAUUCUGGUUAUCGACUCAUAGAUUGACUAACCUUAGAGGAGACUGUUUAGGCCAGGGUUUAGGGUUCAUUUGUGGCAAAGAGUGGGGCCUUAAACCUUGGUUAUCCUGGUUCCUUACUUGGCGGCAUGGCUGCUGCUCAUUGAUUCCCUGGACUCAUUUCUUUGGUCUAUUCAACUCCUGUAGAGCUCUGUAAAGGGAAGGUAAACUGAGGCAGUGAUGCUGUGGCUGUAUUUGCCAUCUACUGGUUACUUUAUUGAAUGUAAUAUGGCCACUAACAUAUUAUUGAAUGCCAGGCAGUUGUCUUUAAGUGCUUCACAUAUAUAUCUGGCUUUUAAAUGCUUACCUCAAGUCUUUUUUAAGUUUAUUCAAGUUUAUAAGCAUCUUGAAGCCCAGGGUGGUCAAAGGGUCUGGAAAUACCCAGUGGCCUGAGAUUUGAUUGUAGACCACCCACAUCAGAAGCUAGGCUUGUAACUUGACUGUGGAGCAAAAAUAUUUUAUGUUUUAGAUUUUCCUGUACACAUUUUUGUGUCUUUGACCUAAUCUUGCUUAAUCUUGACUUUAUAAUUCAUAAAAGAUGAAAAUAAAUCUCAGUUCUGUUUCCAUCAUGGAGUUUUCAUUGGUUUUAUAUAUAUAUAUGUAUGUAUGUAUUUUGGCUGCAACUGCACCAUGCAGAACUUCCAGGCCAGGGAUCAAACCCAUGCCACAACAAUAACCCAAACCACAGCAGUGACAAUGCCUAUUCCUUAAACUCUAGGCCACCAGGGAAUAUCUGUGACAAAUUUUAAUGUACGAAAAAUAUUUGGAAACUGUAAAAUACUACAAAGUGUGUUGAUUAUUAUUAUUACUUGGCACUAUUGAAAGCCCCCUUAUUUACUGUUGUUCUUUUUGGCCUUGUGACAAUAAUAUGUUUCAACCUUUUUUCCAGCGUUUCUGACUAUUCCUUUUGUAUUUUCUGGCACAAUUUUCUUUUAGUACCUACAGAAAAAGGGGGUAAAAGCCCAGAUCCUAUCUUUGACUCUGGAGAAUUUAGAUGUUGCCUAGUCAGACUUCAUCUUUGAGAUGAGGAAGUAAAUUUUGAGCAACUGAUGCCCUGGGUUACUUUUAUCAGAGAUGAUAAAUGUUCAUGGAUUCUGUUACCUUGUCUAAAGUCCUUCCAGUGCAAAUGCUGGGCUGAUUUAGUGUGGGCAUUUCUACAUCUUAUUUUUACCUCAAAGUGUUUCAGAUUUGAAAAUUAGUAAUUAAAAUAUAUCAAUUUUAAAUGUAAAUAUUUUAAGACUAGUUCUGUAUAAGAUUGUGAGUAGCAACAUCCGUUAAAAGCAGAAAAUGGAAAAGAUUUAACAAAUUGAUUCCAUAAUAAAAAGAUAUUCAGUGUCCGGGCAGAAUAACAGAAACAUCUGUUUUAUGUCUUUGGGGGAGGGAAAAAAACCUAAUUAGUUUGGGACUGAUUCAGAUAGAUGUCAUUUUAAAUUACUUUCUUCUGUUUACCAAAAUAAUACAAUUGGAUGGAGUAACCACAAUAAAGAAGAUAGGUUUAAAACAGAUGUCUGAUAAGACAUUCACACUAUGAAAAACUAUAUAUGAAACUGCCUUCUAGGCAGAUUUAUGCAGAACUAAAUGUUGGGUCAUUUCUCAAGAAAAACAAACCUUGAUGGGAGUGCACAAAGGUAGCACAGUUUUCAUUUUUAAUCAAUAAAGAAUAUCAGUUGAUCAAGCUAGGCUGAAUAAUGUGGUUUGUAUUUGAAGGGGGAAGAGGUAGAUGGUGAAGGGAAUUGAUUAAUCAGUCCACUAUAGAAACCGACACAAAUCUUUUUUUUCAAAUUUUAAUAUUUUUCUUAUUUGCUCUAUCUUGAUUUCACUUUGGAUUGUGGAUGUACUUCUGUCUACCUCUUAUAUGCAUUUACACAUACACACAUUUUCUUAGUUAAGCCAUAAUACAUAAAUAAGCUUGCAAGUAGUAGCAUCAAUAUAUUCAUGAGUCUAAUCUAGAAAUAUUUCCACUAAACUUAAUCAAUUCUUUGUCUCAGGGUUUUCUUUGAGUAAUGAAAAGAGGAUGGUUAGAAUAUUAGUCUGAGAUGGCAGCAACUGAUUCUCACCAAAGCAUAAAGGAAUUUUUAUUUGAAUUGAGUAUUUAAGGUAAAAGCAAAGAGCUAGUUUUAAACUCCAUUAGCUAACUGAGGAUCUUUGGGUGUUUUCUUAGUAAUAAAACUACCUUCAUAACCUAUAAAGAACAGAUACUAUAGAAAUUAUUUUGUAACUGAGUAUUUUUCUUUCCCUGAAGACUAUUUUAAGUCCUCAAAUACUCAUCCAUUCUUUGAAAAUAGUUCUUGUACAUCUACACACAGUGCAUAGGACAAGUAUUUUGUAGGAUGAAUAUACUCUUGUCUCACAGAAUUCUUGAUUCUUAAAGGAAUGUAGAUUAUGAUUGAGGUGAUUUGGGUUGUGGGAGGGGAACUCGUUUAAUAUACUUCAUGAAUGUGUGCAGAGACAGUGAAUCUCACCCUGUGUGGGUGGUGUAACUGAGUAGGGUCCUGUGGGGCUCCUGCGCACAAAAGCCUCUCUGGGUUCCCCAUUUCUUGUUUUUAGGAAAUGGGCCUCAUUCAGCCACUGUAGCCUUCCCUGAGUCCCAAGGAGGUUCAGACAGUUGCUGAUCAGGGAGGGGAGGGGAUGCAAAGAAGAUGGAGGAACAGUCAAGAAACAAUGGUACAGGAGUUCCCGUGUGGCUCAGUGGUUAAUGAAUCCAACUAGGAACCAUGAGGUUGUGGGUUCGAUCCCUGGCCUCACUCAGUGGGUUAAGGAUCUGGCAUUGCUGUGAGCUGUGGUAUAGGUCGCAGAUACAGCUCAGAUCUCCCAUUGCUGUGACUCUGGCAUAGGCCGGCCGCUACAGCUCUGGUUGGACCCCUAGCCUGGGAACCUCCAUAUGCUGCGGGUGCGGCCCUAG
rnacentral:lncRNA from 1 species